rnacentral:rRNA from 1 species
AGUAACACGUGGGGUAACCUGCCCCCGAUGAUUGGGGACAACCCGAGGAAACUCGAGCUAAUACCAAAUGUGCCCUCCGGCCUCAAGGCCGCUGGGGAAAGGAAGCUUCGGCCUCCGCAUCGGGACGGUCUCGCGGCCUAUCAGCUUGUUGGCGGGGUAACGGCCCACCAAGGCAUCGACGGGUAGCUGGUCUGAGAGGAUGAUCAGCCACACUGGGACUGAGACACGGCCCAG